CGUGUGACCCUCACACAUGCUCUCCACGCUGCGGCAGUGUUUGUGUGGCGCGUACAGGAAUGCUGGCCUGGGAGAAGGCGAUGGUGUUGAAGGGCCUUGUUGCCGUGGGAAGCUGGGUAUAUUCACGAGGUGGUAGCAGUGUGUAGGGCAGAGAAGGAGGCGUAGGAAGGCGCGCAAGGUGAACAUCCCUUCUCAGGAGAAGUGGCGUAUCGUAGGACCAGUGCUAUGGCCCGCUUGGUUUGCCAUAUAUGCAAAUUAUGGCUUCUGAUAUCCAUAUGUAUCCGUCGAGUGUCUGAUGAGGCGGUAAAGUAACAGGUGUGUGACGACCUCAGACUGGGGCUGUCUAUAAUACUAGUGACGGCUGUGAUGAAAUAAUGGUUUGUGACAAACUGGAAAAUGUGGAAGAAAAAUUGGAAAUAUGAACAGUUUAGAAGUAAUGACAAGGUGGCUGUUGAUAAAACUUGGAAAUGACUUGCAGAUGAAAAGAUCCAUUCAGUGUUAAACAGCGUGUGGAAAAAUGAUUAAAAGAUGACUGAAAAUAUUAAUUACAAGACGUAGUUUUGUGGUAUGGUUAUAAGAUAUCUGGCAAUACCAGAUAACACGUGUUAAGGACAAUCAGUAAAUAGUGUCAACUCCCCACGCAAGAGUGACAGGACAUUUUUUUGUUGAGAAACGCUCGGGAAUUCAAGAAAGGUAAUGUGAGAGGACUCAAGUGAGCUAAUACUGUAGUGAGACUUUAUAGUGAAGGACUGCAAUUUGUACAAAGUAGGGUACGGCGUAUAGAGACCCUGCAGCGCGGGAAGACUGCGGCGUAGAAGGAUUACAGCACACCCGGGGUGAAGGACUAUGGCCGCUGAGCUCCUGCAGAAGGAACUUCCUCAUCCAUGGAGCUUCGGUGUCACUCGGGACGGACGGAUCUUUUUUAUCAAUGAGGAGGCUCGACUCACCACCUGGCUACACCCGGUCACCUGUGAACCCGUGCUCACCGGCCACCGGCCCCUCCCAGACCUUCCUAAAGGAUGGGAGCGCGGCAUCACCCCGGAAGGCAUCCCCUACUAUAUUGAGUAAG